CCUGCUCCCCUUUCAUCAAUGCACAGACACAGAAGACCCCUCCGUCAUGCAGCAUCUGCCAUGAGCAUCGGCUUCCUGUGCUGUGUGGCCUUUUCUCUCCUGUGGGCAGGUCCAGUGAAUGCUGGUGUCACUCAGACCCCAAAAUUCCAGGUCCUGAAGACAGGACAGAGCAUGACACUGCAGUGUGCCCAGGAUAUGAACCAUGACUACAUGUACUGGUAUCGACAAGACCCAGGCAUGGGGCUGAGGCUGAUUCAUUACUCAGUUGGUGCUGGUAUCACUGACAAAGGAGAAGUCCCCAAUGGCUACAAUGUCUCCAGAUCAAACACAGAGGAUUUCCCGCUCAGGCUGCAGUCGGCUGCUCCCUCCCAGACAUCUGUGUACUUCUGUGCCAGCAGUUACUCCACAGCGCUACAAGGCCAUCUCCUCUCUGCACAUAAAGGCAGGGAGGCUCUGCCCUCCUCCCCCACCCAAGACUCAGGGAUGCCCUGGGCAGAGUUCUCUACACCAGGAACCUUGGAACCCAGAGUGGCCCCAAGUGGCCCGGACAGGUCUUUCCCCACAACAAAGCGAGACAGAUCAGAGAUCCACUUCAAGAAUUCCAUCCUUAAAGGUUGUUCCUUGAAACCACUUCUGACUACCAUCAAACAAAUAGAUCCCCAGUAUGAAGAACAUAAGGACAUAUUAGGAGCUAGCAAUGAGGAAAUGUGA